UUAAGCGACUAAGCGUACACGGUGGAUGCCCUGGCAGUCAGAGGCGAUGAAGGACGUGCUAAUCUGCGAUAAGCGUCGGUAAGGUGAUAUGAACCGUUAUAACCGGCGAUUUCCGAAUGGGGAAACCCAGUGUGUUUCGACACACUAUCAUUAACUGAAUCCAUAGGUUAAUGAGGCGAACCGGGGGAACUGAAACAUCUAAGUACCCCGAGGAAAAGAAAUCAACCGAGAUUCCCCCAGUAGCGGCGAGCGAACGGGGAGCAGCCCAGAGCCUGAAUCAGUGUGUGUGUUAGUGGAAGCGUCUGGAAAGGCGCGCGAUACAGGGUGACAGCCCCGUACACAAAAAUGCACAUACUGUGAGCUCGAUGAGUAGGGCGGGACACGUGGUAUCCUGUCUGAAUAUGGGGGGACCAUCCUCCAAGGCUAAAUACUCCUGACUGACCGAUAGUGAACCAGUACCGUGAGGGAAAGGCGAAAAGAACCCCGGCGAGGGGAGUGAAAAAGAACCUGAAACCGUGUACGUACAAGCAGUGGGAGCACAGAGCAAUCUGUGUGACUGCGUACCUUUUGUAUAAUGGGUCAGCGACUUAUAUUCUGUAGCAAGGUUAACCGAAUAGGGGAGCCGAAGGGAAACCGAGUCUUAACCGGGCGUUAAGUUGCAGGGUAUAGACCCGAAACCCGGUGAUCUAGCCAUGGGCAGGUUGAAGGUUGGGUAACACUAACUGGAGGACCGAACCGACUAAUGUUGAAAAAUUAGCGGAUGACUUGUGGCUGGGGGUGAAAGGCCAAUCAAACCGGGAGAUAGCUGGUUCUCCCCGAAAGCUAUUUAGGUAGCGCCUCGUGAAUUCAUCUCCGGGGGUAGAGCACUGUUUCGGCAAGGGGGUCAUCCCGACUUACCAACCCGAUGCAAACUGCGAAUACCGGAGAAUGUUAUCACGGGAGACACACGGCGGGUGCUAACGUCCGUCGUGAAGAGGGAAACAACCCAGACCGCCAGCUAAGGUCCCAAAGUCAUGGUUAAGUGGGAAACGAUGUGGGAAGGCCCAGACAGCCAGGAUGUUGGCUUAGAAGCAGCCAUCAUUUAAAGAAAGCGUAAUAGCUCACUGGUCGAGUCGGCCUGCGCGGAAGAUGUAACGGGGCUAAACCAUGCACCGAAGCUGCGGCAGCGACACUGUGUGUUGUUGGGUAGGGGAGCGUUCUGUAAGCCUGUGAAGGUGUACUGUGAGGUAUGCUGGAGGUAUCAGAAGUGCGAAUGCUGACAUAAGUAACGAUAAAGCGGGUGAAAAGCCCGCUCGCCGGAAGACCAAGGGUUCCUGUCCAACGUUAAUCGGGGCAGGGUGAGUCGACCCCUAAGGCGAGGCCGAAAGGCGUAGUCGAUGGGAAACAGGUUAAUAUUCCUGUACUUGGUGUUACUGCGAAGGGGGGACGGAGAAGGCUAUGUUGGCCGGGCGACGGUUGUCCCGGUUUAAGCGUGUAGGCUGGUUUUCCAGGCAAAUCCGGAAAAUCAAGGCUGAGGCGUGAUGACGAGGCACUACGGUGCUGAAGCAACAAAUGCCCUGCUUCCAGGAAAAGCCUCUAAGCAUCAGGUAACAUCAAAUCGUACCCCAAACCGACACAGGUGGUCAGGUAGAGAAUACCAAGGCGCUUGAGAGAACUCGGGUGAAGGAACUAGGCAAAAUGGUGCCGUAACUUCGGGAGAAGGCACGCUGAUAUGUAGGUGAAGUCCCUCGCGGAUGGAGCUGAAAUCAGUCGAAGAUACCAGCUGGCUGCAACUGUUUAUUAAAAACACAGCACUGUGCAAACACGAAAGUGGACGUAUACGGUGUGACGCCUGCCCGGUGCCGGAAGGUUAAUUGAUGGGGUCAGCGCAAGCGAAGCUCUUGAUCGAAGCCCCGGUAAACGGCGGCCGUAACUAUAACGGUCCUAAGGUAGCGAAAUUCCUUGUCGGGUAAGUUCCGACCUGCACGAAUGGCGUAAUGAUGGCCAGGCUGUCUCCACCCGAGACUCAGUGAAAUUGAACUCGCUGUGAAGAUGCAGUGUACCCGCGGCAAGACGGAAAGACCCCGUGAACCUUUACUAUAGCUUGACACUGAACAUUGAGCCUUGAUGUGUAGGAUAGGUGGGAGGCUUUGAAGUGUGGACGCCAGUCUGCAUGGAGCCGACCUUGAAAUACCACCCUUUAAUGUUUGAUGUUCUAACGUGGACCCGUGAUCCGGGUUGCGGACAGUGUCUGGUGGGUAGUUUGACUGGGGCGGUCUCCUCCUAAAGAGUAACGGAGGAGCACGAAGGUUGGCUAAUCCUGGUCGGACAUCAGGAGGUUAGUGCAAUGGCAUAAGCCAGCUUGACUGCGAGCGUGACGGCGCGAGCAGGUGCGAAAGCAGGUCAUAGUGAUCCGGUGGUUCUGAAUGGAAGGGCCAUCGCUCAACGGAUAAAAGGUACUCCGGGGAUAACAGGCUGAUACCGCCCAAGAGUUCAUAUCGACGGCGGUGUUUGGCACCUCGAUGUCGGCUCAUCACAUCCUGGGGCUGAAGUAGGUCCCAAGGGUAUGGCUGUUCGCCAUUUAAAGUGGUACGCGAGCUGGGUUUAGAACGUCGUGAGACAGUUCGGUCCCUAUCUGCCGUGGGCGCUGGAGAACUGAGGGGGGCUGCUCCUAGUACGAGAGGACCGGAGUGGACGCAUCACUGGUGUUCGGGUUGUCAUGCCAAUGGCACUGCCCGGUAGCUAAAUGCGGAAGAGAUAAGUGCUGAAAGCAUCUAAGCACGAAACUUGCCCCGAGAUGAGUUCUCCCUGACCCUUUAAGGGUCCUGAAGGAACGUUGAAGACGACGACGUUGAUAGGCCGGGUGUGUAAGCGCAGCGAUGCGUUGAGCUAACCGGUACUAAUGAACCGUGAGGCUUAACCU
rnacentral:rRNA from 1 species